rnacentral:rRNA from 1 species
CCUACGGGAGGCUGCAGUGAGGAAUAUUGGUCAAUGGCCGGGAGACUGAACCAGCCAAGCCGCGUGAGGGAUGAAUGCACAGAGUAUCGUAAACCUCUUUUGUCGGGGAGUAAAAGACGCCACGCGUGGCGUUUCGAGAGUACCCGAUGAAUAAGCACCGGCUAAUUCCGUGCCAGCAGCCGCGGUAAUACGGAGGAUGCGAGCGUUAUCCGGAUUUAUUGGGUUUAAAGGGUGCGCAGGCGGAAGUUCAAGUCAGCGGUAAAAUUGGGGGGCUCAACCUGUUCGAGCCGUGGGAACUGGUGUUCUUGAGUGAGCGGGAGGUAGGCGGAAUGCGUGGUGUAGCGGUGAAAUGCUUAGAUAGCACGCAGAACUCCGAUUGCGAAGGCAGCAUGCCGCAGCGCAACUGACGCUGAUGCACGAAAGUGUGGGUAUCGAACAGGAUUAGAUACCCGUGUAGUC